GAUGAACGCUGGCGGCGUGCUUAACACAUGCAAGUCGAACGAUGAAGCCCAGCUUGCUGGGUGGGUUAGUGGCGAACGGGUGAGUAACACGUGAGUAACCUGCCCUUAACUCUGGGAUAAGCCUGGGAAACUGGGGCUAAUACCGGAUAGGAGCGUCCACCGCAUGGUGGGUGGUGGAAAGAUUUAUCGGUUUUGGAUGGACUCGCGGCCUAUCAGCUUGUUGGUGAGGUAAUGGCUCACCAAGGCGACGACGGGUAGCCGGCCUGAGAGGGUGACCGGCCACACUGGGACUGAGACACGGCCCAGACUCCUACGGGAGGCAGCAGUGGGGAAUAUUGCACAAUGGGCGCAAGCCUGAUGCAGCGACGCCGCGUGCGGGAUGACGGCCUUCGGGUUGUAAACCUCUUUCAGUAGGGAAGAAGCGAAAGUGACGGUACCUGCAGAAGAAGCACCGGCUAACUACGUG
rnacentral:rRNA from 1 species